ACUUGAAAUCAUUUGGUAUACUGUUUCAGCAACUAUAAUAAAGCAUAAUGUCUAGGAUCACUUUGAGAGCUAUUUAAAAUGAAAAUGGAGUUGCCUUUUAUAGAAUAAUCACUUUUUGUAUCUAUUGUUAAUCAAUGAUAAGAUUGCAGGAACUGAUCAAAUGCUAUCAAUUUCAUUGUUAUAUCUAAAAGACAAUCAUCAUCCAGAC
rnacentral:lncRNA from 1 species